GCCAAUAUUUAUUAGACCCACUAAUGUUAGCAUAUUCCAUAGAAAAUACGUUACUCAACGGGUCACUUUCGUUGAUAAACCAAGAGUCAAUAUUUAUCAAUUAAAAUAUUCGAUCUACCUUCUGCGCAGUCACAGCCCCUCGUUGCUUUCAUUGGUCUUUUUUGGUAAGUUCGUUGUUCUCAUUGCUGCUUCUCUCUGAAAUGCUUACUGAACUCUCUCAUGGACUCUGUUAUAAUAAAGCCAACAUUUAGCUCUCUCUCUUUCAAUUCCAUGAGCAUCAAAACCAAAACUUUCUACCCAGCACACUCUUCCUUCGUUAAAUUCAGUCAGUUUAGUAAGUUCAAAACCUCUUCAGUCAUCUCUUUUUCUUUCAAAAAGAACCCUUCAAAUCCCGAAAACCCUGGACCAAAAUCUAAUAAAAAUAACAGUAGGAAUUUCCCUUUAAGCCCUUUAUGUAUUUUCUUUCCGAUUUUACAGUCUAUCAAAGGUUUAGCCUCUUCACAUACUCAGAAAUGGGUUUCACGUCUGCAAGCAUAUAACAAUGAGUUAGAAAGUAUCUUAGAUUUACCCAAGAGUAACCAUUACUUAAAAAACGGGGCGUUUGGGGUCGCUUUAUUAAGCGUGACUUCGACUGCAAAAGUCAAAAUCAGUCCUUUUGUGACCACACUGGCUGCGAAUCCCACAUUUGUAUCUGGUUUGUUUGCCUGGAUUGUAGCACAAUCCGCAAAGAUGGCUUUGAAUUUCUUUGUGGAGAGAAAAUUGGAUUUUAGAUUACUAUUUGCCUCUGGAGGAAUGCCUUCUUCUCACUCCGCUUUAUGUACGGCUUUGACGACGUCAGUGGCGCUUUGUCAUGGAGCGGCAGAUUGCUUAUUUCCUGUUUGUUUGGGGUUUAGUUCCAUUGUUAUGUAUGAUGCCAUUGGUGUUCGACGCCAUGCUGGGAUGCAAGCUGAGCAUACCUCUCUGAGCUAAAAGGAAAGAUAUCCUUACUACCCAGGGACCUACAUUCCUAUAAUAUAUCUGGAAGUCUGAGGCCCAUUUUCGGUGGGGCUUAUACUGGAUUUAUAUUUAUCACAUACUUGAGUGGAGUCCCCAUUCUUUCCUGGUGGAGAAUUGAUGCAACCUUUUGGCGUCCUAAAGCUCUCCUAGAAGUUGGGAACUGUCCUAUUGGAACUGACUUGGGUUGGAAAGCUACUGGAAAUGCUUUGGUUUGUCCUAUUUUCAUCCUCCUAGGUCUUUGGUUUUGGUCUUAUUUUUGUUGGUUUCAACUAUUUUGUUUUGGUGUUUCAUUUAGGCUGGGGAAAUGAGUGAGAUUGCCAAAACACUAUAGACUGUGGCUGCCUUUUUUGCGUUUUGGUUGUUUGUAACUAGAAACACCUUAUCUUACCGUCUCCUGUCAUGCUGUCUGGAAAAUACCUAUGUGAAUGGGUUUUUAAAUUGUUAAAUAGGGUACUACAGAAAUGAUUUGUGGGAAAAUUUUACAGUUAAGUUCAUAUGGUUUCCACUGAAAUCCCCUCAUCACACAAAUUUGUUAAGGUUCUUAAUAUGAUCGUUGAGGACUUGUUUCAAGGUCAUCCCAUCAGUCAAAGAAAGCUCAAAGAGCUUCUAGGCCAUACUCCAUUACAGGUCUUUGCUGGAGCUGUGGUUGGUAUCUUGGUCGCCUGUAUAUGUUG